rnacentral:rRNA from 1 species
ACUCCACAUCCGCAUCCUUUGCUGAGGAUACGGUUAACGGAGCGAAAGCGACGUUCAACCGCAAAACAAGCAGAGGGGGCUUAGUGGUGGGGUGACUGCGUACCUUUUGUAUAAUGGGUCAGCGACUUAUAUUCUGUAGCAAGGUUAACCGAAUAGGGGAGCCGGAGGGAAACCGAGUCUUAAUUGGGCGUUAAGUUGCAGGGUAUAGACCCGAAACCCGGUGAUCUAGCCAUGGGCAGGUUGAAGGUUGGGUAACACUAACUGGAGGACCGAACCGACUAAUGUUGAAAAAUUAGCGGAUGACCUGUGGCUGGGGGUGAAAGGCCAAUCAAACCGGGAGAUAGCUGGUUCUCCCCGAAAGCUAUUUAGGUAGCGCCUCGUGAAUUCAUCUCCGGGGGUAGAGCACUGUUUCGGCUAGGGGGCCAUCCCGGCUUACCAACCCGAUGCAAACUGCGAAUACCGGAGAAUGUUAUCACGGGAGACACACGGCGGGUGCUAACGUCCGUCGUGAAGAGGGAAACAACCCAGACCGCCAGCUAAGGUCCCAAAGUCAUGGUUAAGUGGGAAACGAUGUGGGAAGGCCCAGACAGCCAGGAUGUUGGCUUAGAAGCAGCCAUCAUUUAAAGAAAGCGUAAUAGCUCACUGGUCGAGUCGGCCUGCGCGGAAGAUGUAACGGGGCUAAACCAUGCACCGAAGCUGCGGCAGCGAACGUAUCACCCAAGACAACUUUACGGAGUUGACGAUUGACGGAGCGAAGCGACGUCAAAGCGUUCAUUAAAGUCGAGUUGGCUUAGGGAUACGUUCGUUGGGUAGGGGAGCGUUCUGUAAGCCUGUGAAGGUGUGUCGUGAGGCAUGCUGGAGGUAUCAGAAGUGCGAAUGCUGACAUAAGUAACGAUAAAGCGGGUGAAAAGCCCGCUCGCCGGAAGACCAAGGGUUCCUGUCCAACGUUAAUCGGGGCAGGGUGAGUCGACCCCUAAGGCGAGGCCGAAAGGCGUAGUCGAUGGGAAACGGGUUAAUAUUCCCGUACUUGGUGUUACUGCGAAGGGGGGACGGAGAAGGCUAUGUUGGCCGGGCGACGGUUGUCCCGGUUUAAGCGUGUAGGUGUGUGUUCCAGGUAAAUCCGGUUCACUUUAACACUGAGGCGUGACGACGAGGCACUACGGUGCUGAAGCAACAAAUGCCCUGCUUCCAGGAAAA